AUUGAACGCUGGCGGCAGGCCUAACACAUGCAAGUCGAGCGGAUGAAGGGAGCUUGCUCCUGGCUUCAGCGGCGGACGGGUGAGUAAUGCCUAGGAAUCUGCCUGGUCGUUGGGGAUAACGUCCGGACACGGGCGCUAAUACCGCAUACGUCCUGAGGGAGAAAGUGGGGGAUCUUCGGACCUCACGCUAUCAGAUGAGCCUAGGUCGGAUUAGCUAGUUGGUUGGGUAAAGGCCUACCAAGGCGACGAUCCGUAACUGGUCUGAGAGGAUGAUCAGUCACACUGGAACUGAGACACGGUCCAGACUCCUACGGGAGGCAGCAGUAGGGAAUAUUGGACAAUGGGCGAAAGCCUGAUCCAGCCAUGCCGCGUGUGUGAAGAAGGUCUUCGGAUUGUAAAGCACUGUUAGUAGGGAAGAAGAGAAGUAAGAUAAUACCUUGCUGUUUUGACGUUACCAACAGAGAAAGCACCGGCUAACUUCGUG
rnacentral:rRNA from 1 species